rnacentral:snoRNA from 1 species
UAGAUAAUUUUAAAGAGGGCUUAUAGGACCAUGAAUCACAAUUUCUUAACGUUUUGACUAAAGAUUGCAUUUCUCCACAGGAUCCCAUAAUCAUUCAACAGUGCUAUCCUUAGGAGAUAAAAGA